UCUAGCCAGUACAAAUAAUGCUUGUCGUCUCAACUUCAAGACAUGUGAUUGAUUUUUGUAUCUGUGCACUUUACCUUUAUCUGUAGUGAACGUGAUCUCAAUUUCUUUGUUCCCAAAUCCUUUGUUUUUCCUCUUCUAUAACAUAUGGUUUCUAAGAAUGUUGUUUUCAAUAUCAUAGUUCCCAAAUCUUGUUUGUAAGAAUGUUUACCUGUUGGCAUGGGAAGGGAUUAUACGUUAAUGCUUGACAUGUUUAAAUUGAAUUAUACAAGUUGGAUUAUUUCAUGAGCUUGCUGUGUUUCUCUGUAUGUGGUUACUGCACUGCGGAUGCUUGUUUCCUUGAAGUUUGUGGGCAACAAAACAAAGAGCUUCUUAAGCAUUGCUUUAGUAGAAUCUUUGAGCCGGUUGCUUGAUGCAAGGCAAAGAGACUAAACGCUAGACGGAGACGAAUCAUGGUUAACCGAGAAUAAAAAUGAGAACUGGGAGAAAUGGAAGAUUCUGGACUUUAGGAGAGAGAGAGAGCGGAAAUAGAUGAUGAAGAAAUCAGAAUAUCAUCUUGGAUGGUAGGAUCGUAUCCAGGGCACUUAAAUUUGGAGGGCUCUGAAAUUGUUUGAGAAUUGAAGUGAUGUCUUCCCCAGAUUUAUUACCUGGGUUUCAUUUGGUCAGGUCGGAAAUCACCCUGUCAAAAGGUGAUUAUUAGUCCUCAAAAAUAUAAUUCCCAGUGGUUCCUUGGUCGUGAAAGGUUAUUGUUAUGUUCCUUGGUCAAGAAGGUUUCAAAUUUUUGAAUUGCCAACCUGUUGCUUGGUCUAGAAGGCUUCAAAUUUGUCUUGCACGAGGCUGACCAUUGUUUGAUUUCUCUGAAAAAGACUCCAAUCAAACCUUCUUUCGUUGUUUUAAAAUUCAUCAUUAUGCUACUGUUCUUAGAUGACCAGUCAAUAGGCAACUAUUGACCACAAAAACUUCAUAUGAAGUCAGAGUCUUGUUAUAUCGAUUACAUGUGUAGUCAUUGUAUUAUCAAAUUAUGGAAUUUACUUUUUCUUCAAUCCGUUGCUCUUUACGUGCACAAAAAGAAUGUUGUUGUAUCCUCUGCUGAUUCUGAUCUUUUCAUCGCUGUACCUGCAUCAGACAUUUAACAUUCAUGAGUGUGCAAUUAAUCAGCUUAGCAACGAAUGGAAGAAUCAAAGGUCUUACAGCAGCUCCAGACUGAUCUUUGUUUCCAUCCCCUCUAUGGGAUAACCAAACUGCCCUGCAAUAAUGGCUGCAUCACUCAUGGUGACAUUGUACGUGUUGGCUGCUGAUCUUCUGGCAAUGAGGAACCAAAAUUACAUUAGCUUCCGAAAUGGCUUCCCUGGAAUGUGCUCAGGAGUUUCUUUUAUGUUAAUCUAAAUAUUUUUUACUGCUUCGGUACUAUCAUCAAUGUGAAAGCAAUUGGCUCCAGGGCAGCUGUGCCCAUUGAACCAA